UGGAUAGCUCAGUUGGUUAGUGUGUGGGGCUGAUAACGCCAAGUUUGCAGGUUCGACUCCCGUAUGGCACAA